rnacentral:rRNA from 1 species
UACGUAGGCAGCAAGCGUUGUUCGGAAUUACUGGGCGUAAAGAGUGUGUAGGCGGUGCUCUAAGUUUGGUGUGAAAUCUCCCGGCUCAACUGGGAGGGUGCGGUGGAGACUGCCGGACUGGAGGCACUCAGAGGCCGGUGGAAUUCCCGGUGUAGUGGUGAAAUGCGUAGAGAUCGGGAGGAACACCAGUGGCGAAGGCGGCCGGCUGGGGGUGACCGUGACGCUG